CAUGUGCAUGAAUACCAGACAGAUUAUUUUUUUCCAUUCAAGGCCUAGCAUAGUUAAAGGUGCUCAGGUCUGAGAGAGCUAUUGGGCUGAGCAGUGAGUGAGGCUGAGGGGAACUGGGUGGGUAGUGAUAGUGGGGUGGUCAGUGUGUUAAACUAGGUGGGUAGUGAUAGUGGGGUGGUCAGUGUGUUAAACUAGGUGGGUAGUGAUAGUGGGGUGGUCAGUGUGUUAAACUAGGUGGGUAGUGAUAGUGGGGUGGUCAGUGUGUUAAACUAGGUGGGUAGUGAUAGUGGGGUGGUCAGUGUGUUAAACUAGGUGGGUAGUGAUAGUGGGGUGGUCAGUGUGUUAAACUAGGUGGGUAGUGAUAGUGGGGUGGUCAGUGUGUUAAACUAGGUGGGUAGUGAUAGUGGGGUGGUCAGUGUGUUAAACUAGGUGGGUAGUGAUAGUGGGGUGGUCAGUGUGUUAAACUAGGUGGGUAGUGAUAGUGGGGUGGUCAGUGUGUUAAACUAGGUGGGUAGUGAUAGUGGGGUGGUCAGUGUGUUAAACUAGGUGGGUAGUGAUAGUGGGGUGGUCAGUGUGUUAAACUAGGUGGGUAGUGAUAGUGGGGUGGUCAGUGUAGUGAUAGUGGGGUGGUCAGUGUGUUAAACUAGGUGGGUAGUGAUAGUGGGGUGGUCAGUGUAGUGAUAGUGGGGUGGUCAGUGUGUUAAACUAGGUGGGUAGUGAUAGUGGGGUGGUCAGUGUAGUGAUAGUGGGGUGGUCAGUGUGUUAAACUAGGCGGGUAGUGAUAGUGGGGUGGUCAGUGUGUUAAACUAGGUGGGUAGUGAUAGUGGGGUGGUCAGUGUGUUAAACUAGGUGGGUAGUGAUAGUGGGGUGGUCAGUGUGUUAAACUAGGUGGGUAGUGAUAGUGGGGUGGUCAGUGUGUUAAACUAGGUGGGUAGUGAUAGUGGGGUGGUCAGUGUGUUAAACUAGGUGGGUAGUGAUAGUGGGGUGGUCAGGUAUUAGGUGGCAGGUAUUAGUGAGGUGAGGGGAACUUGCAUU